rnacentral:rRNA from 1 species
GAUGAACGCUGGCGGCGUGCCUAAUACAUGCAAGUCGAGCGAACGGACGAGAAGCUUGCUUUUCUGAUGUUAGCGGCGGACGGGUGAGUAACACGUGGAUAACCUACCUAUAAGACUGGGAUAACUUCGGGAAACCGGAGCUAAUACCGGAUAAUAUUUUGAACCGCAUGGUUCAUAAGUGAAAGACGGUCUUGCUGUCACUUAUAGAUGGAUCCGCGCUGCAUUAGCUAGUUGGUAAGGUAACGGCUUACCAAGGCAACGAUGCAUAGCCGACCCGAGAGGGUGAUCGGCCACACUGGAACUGAGACACGGUCCAGACUCCUACGGGAGGCAGCAGUAGGGAAUCUUCCGCAAUGGGCGAAAGCCUGACGGAGCAACGCCGCGUGAGUGAUGAAGGUCUUCGGAUCGUAAAACUCUGUUAUUAGGGAAGAACAUAUGUGUAAGUAACUGUGCACAUCUUGACGGUACCUAAUCAGAAAGCCACGGCUAACUACGUG